rnacentral:rRNA from 1 species
AUAGGCCGAAGUACAUGAUUCCAUGCUUCCAAGAAAAGCAUCUAGAGAGAGAAGUAGUGCCCGUACCGCAAACCGACACAGGUAGAUGAGGAGAGAAUCCUAAGGCCGGCGGAAGAAUUGCAGUUAAGGAACUAGGCAAAUUGACCCCGUAAGUUCGCGAGAAGGGGUGCCUGCGAGAGCAGGCCGCAGAGAAUAGGCCCAAGCAACUGUUUAGCAAAAACACAGGUCUCUGCUAAAGCGUAAGCUGAUGUAUAGGGGCUGACGCCUGCCCGGUGCUGGAAGGUUAAGGGGAACACUUAGCGCAAGCGAAGGUGUGAACUUAAGCCCCAGUAAACGGCGGCCGUAACUAUAACGGUCCUAAGGUAGCGAAAUUCCUUGUCAGGUAAGUUCUGACCCGCACGAAUGGCGUAAUGACUUGGGCACUGUCUCAACUGCAAAUCCGGCGAAGUUGUAGUGCGAGUGAAGAUGCUCGCUACCCGCGAUUGGACGGAAAGACCCCGUAGAGCUUUACUGUAGCUUAGCAUUGAAUUCCGGUAUUGUCUGUACAGGAUAGGUGGGAGACUGGGAAACUAGGGCGUCAGCCUUAGUGGAGUCAACCUUGGGAUACCACCCUGACAGUACUGGGGUUCUAACAGGACGCCAUGAAUCUGGUGACUGGACAUUGUUAGGUGGGCAGUUUGACUGGGGCGGUCGCCUCCUAAAAAGUAACGGAGGCGCCCAAAGGUUCCCUCAGAACGGUCGGAAAUCGUUCGUAGAGUGCAAAGGCAGAAGGGAGCCUGACUGCGAGACAUACAAGUCGAGCAGGGACGAAAGUCGGGCUUAGUGAUCCGGUGGUACCUCGUGGGAGGGCCAUCGCUCAACGGAUAAAAGCUACCUCGGGGAUAACAGGCUGAUCUCCCCCAAGAGUCCACAUCGACGGGGAGGUUUGGCACCUCGAUGUCGGCUCGUCGCAUCCUGGGGCUGUAGUAGGUCCCAAGGGUUGGGCUGUUCGCCCAUUAAAGCGGCACGCGAGCUGGGUUCAGAACGUCGUGAGACAGUUCGGUCCCUAUCCGUCGCGGGCGUAGGAAAUUUGAGAGGAGCUGUCCUUAGUACGAGAGGACCGGGAUGGACUGACCUCUGGUGCACCAGUUGUUCCGCCAGGAGCAUGGCUGGGUAGCUAAGUCGGGAAGGGAUAAACGCUGAAAGCAUCUAAGCGUGAAGCCUCCCUCAAGAUGAGAUUUCCCAUAGCAUAAGCAAGUAAGACCCCUUGAAGAACACAAGGUUGAUAGGUCAGAGGUGUAAGUGCGGUAACGUAUUUAGCUGACUGAUACUAAUAGGUCGAGGGCUUGACC